AAGAAAGACAAAAAAUCACUAUUUCUAAGAGAACUUUCAAUCUGGGCCGUUUAUUUGACUCUCUCUCCAUUUUCUCUCUUUAAUCAUGGCCCUUGAUCUGUGAGACUUUUUUCUCCUGAUUCUCUAUUUCCCUGACGUCACAGAAGGCGUUGAUGGAGUAUGCAUUGAAGGAGAGGAGUGUGUCCAUGGUUUGAUUUCGUGGGUAAUUGUCAUCCAUGCAGGCCCUGUCUCUGUAGCGUGAUUUAGGAGUUAUGGAAGUCCUCUGUUCCUGUGGUUAGGUUAGGUUUGGUUGCAGAAGGGGGAUCUGUUGAAGUUCCGUUCAAGCAGGAAUACGAAGCUGAGUUGUGUGAUAUCAUCAUCUCAGGGUCAGGUCAUCUCAGUUUCAGAGCAAAGAGAAGGAGAAGGACGAAGCUGGUGGGAGGACAAGGAAGAAUCUUUGGUGUACUGUAGAUUGGGUUAGGUUAGGAUUAGGUGGAGAAGAGAGGACGGGUUGAAAUUCAGAGCAAGGAGAUGGUGGAAGUUUUCACUGUCAGAGUGUCAGGAGAGGAGCAGAAUCAGACCUUGAUGUCGGAUCACAUCAGUUGACUACAAUCCUGGUGAAGCAGGAGAAAGAAGAGCAUCUUCUUUGCGGGUUCUAAUCAUUGACUUAGAGUUGCAAAUGUUAGUUUAGCCGGUACUGCAUUGACAUCUCUGGUUUUCAUUUCUAAAAUGUUAAUUAUCAUGAUUUAGUUUUGCUUUUCUUUCCCUAACAAAGCUAAAUUGUUCUUAUCUUCACUGCAUGGAAGAACCAUUCUCCACCAGGUCUGCAAGAAUUCUGAUUUGGUUAUGAUUUUGUUCUUUAGUUGCUUACUUGCCUUAUAAUGGUUUGCAUUUUGUUUUGGUUUUCGUUUUAUGAACUUAUCGUUGCUCUGUUAUGCCUCUGGUUGGAGUGGUUGAUCUUCAUUGUAAAUGUAAAUUAAAUGGCUCAUCAUCUUCAUGAAAUGUCAAUACUCAUAGUACAAACACUGUUGUCCAUUUGUAUGGAGGAUCUGCCAAAUUUGAAUGGGUUAUGCGAAAGAGAUCCUGCUUCCUUAUGAGUAAAAUUGCUCAAUGUGUUCAUGACUUAAAGGCCUUAUUAGUUGGAUGGGUUGUAUGGUUGCCCUCUUUACCCUUUCUUCCUUUGGAUUUAAAGAUAAUAAUGAACUUUCAUUCCUUCAGAAAGUUUUGCUCAAA